UAUUUUAAAAUUUCCAGUUACGAAAAUUCUUGUUUUUGACAAAAAUUUAAUGAAUAAAUAAAAUUGUUUGUGUUUGUUACCUCUGGGCCCCGAUUGCUCGAAUGCCCAAAGAAAAAGUUGCAAAGAUAUGAAAACUCCACAGUGUGUUGUAUUGAAACGGUUUUAAUUGUCCUAUAACAAAAGCACAGAAAUCUCUCACCGUUUGGAAUAGCAAGAAAGAAACUUACAAGCCUAGCAAGACCGCGCACUUAAGCGCAGGCCCGGCUGGACUCUCCAUCUCUUGUCUUCUUGCCCAGUAAAAGCUCUCAUGCUCUUGCCAAAACAAAAAAAAAA
rnacentral:misc_RNA from 1 species